CUUGGUUAGAGGAAGUAAAAGUCGUAACAAGGUUUCCGUAGGUGAACCUGCGGAAGGAUCAUUAUCAUAACGUAUCCACGUAUAAACCAAAACUAUAUAUAUAUAUAUGUAUGCAGAAAUGUGUACAUAUAUGUAUAUGUGUGUGAAUUGUUAACUUUAUCAGCCUUUGAUAAUUAGUUGAUUGCUGUAUAAUUUCUAUUUUGAUUAAGGAAAUUAUAUGGACUUGGCUUGCAAAGGCCUAGCUCUAAUUAUCGAAGUGUAAAUUCUUAAUCAUAUUAACCACUUGAACCCGAAUACACUAUUUGUAAUAUUAAUAGUUAUUCAUUUUUUAUUAGUGAACUGAAUUGUUUCUUACUCUUUUGUAACAAAAAGAGAAGAAAUUAUAUUUACGAAACAUAAAAAUUGAACAACUCUUAGCAACGGAUAUCUUGGUUCUC
rnacentral:misc_RNA from 1 species